GAGCCGGAAGCUCUCCUCGUAUACAGUGAACACCUGUUCCAGCCUAUCUUGCUCCAGGUAAAGGUAACCUAAGAAGAGCCCCUGAGAACAGCAGGUCCAGCCCCAUGGUUGCUAAUGGUAGCAUUUCAGGCCCAUGUCGCUAGCAGGGUGUGGGCUUGAGGUGGCAAGGGUAGGGAAAUGGAUCAUCAGACAACUUCUACCCUCCCCUUUUAUUUACCCUGCACAUGGGGCCCUUGACAGAGUUCACACACUGGAAAGAGAACCGUUCAAGAGAGAAGUCUCUGAAAGCUACCAGCUUCACCUCUAAGUGUAGUCUAUCGGAAAUGGAACCUGCAAACACCUAGUUACCUCUCCUCUGCUCCAGAGACCGGUGAGGCCAUGAAGGAGCACAGAGCCCACCCCCCUCUCAUGUCCAUGAGCCCCAGUGGCCUGUCCUUACCCUGGCUUACCAGGUGGCCACUAUAUUUAGACGAAUUCAUUUUCCAUUGUGAGAAAGAAUUGAGCCCGGUAUGCUCUGUGUACCUCAGGCAGAGGCAGACUCUCAAUACCUUCCUGUCAGGCCUGAGGCAGGCAGGGGCAAUGAUGCCAGCAGAGGCUCCUUCCGGGAUCUGCAGAGGGCUUCAGCACAGAGAGCCCGUCCUCCUGUCAGGUGCAGCUGUUAUACAAAACAGUUCAGCUGGCCUACGGCUUGGUUGAGCUUUAAAACCUGGUACGUACUGCAACAAAGAAAAA
rnacentral:lncRNA from 1 species